GAUCCUGGCUCAGGAUGAACGCUGACAGAAUGCUUAACACAUGCAAGUCUACUUGAACUUCGGUUUGGGUGGCGGACGGGUGAGUAACGCGUAAAGAACUUGCCUCACAGACUGGGACAACAUUUGGAAACGAAUGCUAAUACCGGAUAUUAUGAGAAUGCGCAUGCAUAACUAUGAAAGCUAUAUGCGCUGUGAGAGAGCUUUGCGUCCCAUUAGCUAGUUGGAGAGGUAACGGCUCACCAAGGCGAUGAUGGGUAGCCGGCCUGAGAGGGUGAACGGCCACAAGGGGACUGAGACACGGCCCUUACUCCUACGGGAGGCAGCAGUGGGGAAUAUUGGACAAUGGACCAAGAGUCUGAUCCAGCAUUCUGUGUGCACGAUGAAGUUUUUCGGAAUGUAAAGUGCUUUCAGUUGGGAAGAAGAAAGUGACGGUACCAACAGAAGAAGCGACGGCUAACUACGUGCCAGCAGCCGCGGUAAUACGUAUGUCGCAAGCGUUAUCCGGAUUUAUUGGGCGUAAAGCGCGUCUAGGCGGCAUAGUAA
rnacentral:rRNA from 1 species